rnacentral:misc_RNA from 1 species
GGCUUUAAUGGUUUAUGUGCCAAGAGCUGUAUUUGGGAAUAUGCUAGGUUGGGAUCAUAGUUACCAUAUUCGCUCAAACCCCCUAGGAACUGCGAUCUGGUUCGUGAGUUCUGAAUCGCGAGUCAUCUGCAUUCCAAAACGCUAGGGGACGCGAUUUGGUUCUCCAAAAUGGAGGUUCCAGCGAGAAUAAAAAGAAAGGAAGGAAGAGAGAAAGAAAGAAGAAAAAUCAUAAGGCAUGC